rnacentral:rRNA from 1 species
GGGAAUUCUACUGGAAUGUGUUUUCCUUAAAAAGCAAUGCCCAAGGAUGAGUUGGCGGCGGAUUAGCUUGUUGGUGGGGUAAUGGCCCACCAAGGCAUUGAUCCGUUGGGGCCUUGGAAGAGGUAGCCCCGAGAAGGACACUGAGAUACUGGUCCUAGCCCCACGGGGUGCAGCAGGCGCGAAAACUUUACACUACACGAAAGUGUGAUAAGGGGAUUCCAAGUACGUGUACACAUGUAUACGCUUUUUUAGGAGGGCAAAGUCCUCGUAGAAUAAGUGGUGGGUAAGACCGGUGCCAGCAGCCGCGGUAAUCCCGGCGCCACAAGUGGGGACCAGGGUUAUUGGGCCUAAAGCGUUCGUAGCAGGCCGGAUAAAUCUCUUGUGAAAUCGUUGGGCUUAACCUAACGGCGUGCAGGAGAGACUGUUCGGCUAGAGACCGGGAGGGGUAGAGAGUAUUCCUUGGGGAGCGGUAAAAUGCUAUAAUCCUUGGAAGACUACCUGUGGCGAAGGCGCUCUACCAGAACGGGUCUGACUGUGAGGGACGAAAGCUAGGGGAGCAAUCCGGAUUAGAUACCCGAGUAGUCCUAGCUGUAAACUCUGCGAGCAAGGUGUUGCAUAUUCUAAUAUGAAUAUGCAGUGUCGAAGAGAAGUCGUUAAGCUCGCCGCCUGGGAAGUACGGUCGCAAGACUGAAACUUAAAGGAAUUUGCGGGGGAGCACUACAAGGGGUGCGGCGUGCGGUUUAAUUGAACUCAACACCGGAAAUCUCACCAGGAACGACGGUAGAAUGAAGGUCAGUCUAACGGGCUUACCUAACAAGCCGAGAGGUGGUGCAUGGCCGUCGUCAGCUCGUGCCGUGAGGUGUCAUGUUAAGUCAUGCAACGAGCGAGACCUGCAUCUACAAUUGCUAACGGACCCGCAAGGGGGACUGAGCACAUUGUAGAGACUGCCUUGGAAACGAGGAGGAAGGUGCAGGCUACGGUAGGUCUGUAUGCCCCGAAUUCCCUGGGCUACACGCGCGCAGCAAUGGUAGGGACAAUGGGAUGCAACACCGAAAGGUGAAGCUAAACCUCGAAACCCUAUCCCAGUCCAGAUUGGGGGCUGAAACUCGCCCCCAUGACGUCGGAAUCCCUAGUAAUCGGACAUCAUCAGUGUCCGGUGAAUACGUCCCUGCUCCUUGCACACACCGCCCGUCAAACCACCCGAGCAGGGUCUAAGUGAGGCCUAGCCUUUAGCUAUGUCAAACUUAGGCUCAGUGAGGAGGGUUAAGUCGUCACAAGGUA